CCAGGUACGGUGAUAUGGUGCCGAAGACAAUUGCCGGAAAGAAUUCGGGAGCGUGUGCUCGUUGAGCGGUGUACUGGUCAUUGCACUUCCUGUACCAGUUAUCGUGAGCAAC
rfam:Ciona savignyi cont_2886, whole genome shotgun sequence.